AACCGGAUUACGAGGACGACGAUGACUACGACGACAGCACCCCUGAAGGCAAUGAGGAAGGCACCGUCAAGUGGUUCAACGUCAAGAAAGGCUUCGGGUUUAUCGUUCGCGAUAGCGGCGAUGAAGUCUUUGUACACUUCCGCGCCAUUCGUGGCCGUGGCCGCCGGGUAUUGCGCCAGGGCCAACUGGUCCGGUUCAGCGUUGUCGAAGCGGACAAGGGCCUUCAGGCGGACAACGUGUCCAUCCUGAGCGACUGAUCCACGAGAACGUGCAUCACAAAAAAGGGGGCAGCCAACCGGCUGCCCCCUUUUU
rnacentral:sRNA from 1 species